rnacentral:lncRNA from 1 species
ACAGUCAUUACCCUUCUGAAAGAACACCAGCCCAAUACUUGUAUUUAAGCAACUGUAACACCAUUUUCCACUUCACUUAAUAUCAAAGAUUUUAUAGGAAAAGCUGCAGUACAUACUGCUGCAUAACCAGCAUAACACAGUUUCAAAAUAACUAUCCCCAAAGUGUGCAGAACUCCAUGGGUAUAAAAUGGCUGAAGCAAUACAAGAGUGACUUACUAAGAUUAAAUAUGGAAGAUAUAACCUAAAUAUUGUGCUGUGCCAUUUCUCUCACAGGUGACCUGCAUGCUGAUGUCCUGGAGGGGAAGUGCAGUUCCACAACAGUGGAAGGCAGUGGAGCUCAGCAAGAGCUGCCAGGAGCAACAGCAUAUUUCAACAAUUGGUCUUAAAGCAAGACAGUACAAAUUCAAUCAAAGGACCUUUUGAGAAACUUGUUUGAGCUCAGUAUUUAAAAUGCAGAUGUGUCCCAAGAAGAUCACAUAAGAAGAAUAUAUAAGACAAAAAACGCAGAAAACCAAGAACCUCCUGCAAAACUGCCUGACAGAUAAGAUGUUACAGCCUUUGUUGUACAACCAAGGAGAUAAUCUAGUGUAAACACACAAGGUCUUGCAACGUUUCCAUCUGCAGCUGUGUUAGUUUCCCUUCAUUAUAUUACAUGUGGAAUAAGAAAAUUGUGUUGAAUAAAGU